AUACGGAGGGUGCAAGCGUUACUCGGAAUCACUGGGCGUAAAGCGCGCGCAGGCGGGCUGAUAAGUUGGAGGUGAAAGCCUACGGCUCAACCGUAGAACUGCAUCCAAAACUGUCAGUCUAGAGUCUGGGAGGGGAAGAUGGAAUUAGUUGUGUAGGGGUAAAAUCCGUAGAGAUAACUAGGAAUACCAAAAGCGAAGGCGAUCUUCUGGAACAGUACUGACGCUGAGGCGCGAAAGCGUGGGGAGCAAACAGGAUUAGAUACCCUAGUAGUCC
rnacentral:rRNA from 1 species